AUUGAACGCUGGCGGCAGGCUUAACACAUGCAAGUCGAGCGAGCGGCGGACGGGUGAGUAAUGUCUGGGAAACUGCCUGAUGGAGGGGGAUAACUACUGGAAACGGUAGCUAAUACCGCAUACCAUCAGAUGUGCCCAGAUGGGAUUAGCUAGUAGGUGGGGUAAGGGCUCACCUAGGGGACGAUCCCUAGCUGGUCUGAGCGGAUGACCAGCCAAACUGGAACGUGGACACGGGCCAGACUCCUACGGUAGGCAGCAGUGGGGAAUAUUGCACAAUGGGCGCAAGGCUGAUGCAGCCGUGCCGCGUGUGUGAAGAAGGCCUUCGGGUUGUAAAGCACUUUCAGCGAGGAGGCGUUACUCGCAGAAGAAGCACCGGCUAACUCCGUGCCAGCCGCCGCGGUAAUAC
rnacentral:rRNA from 1 species